GUGGUUCUGGCCUUCUAGGUUUGUGAUCUGGAUCAAAAUCAGAAUAAAGGAGUGAUUCCUUAUAAAGUUGGUCCCGAAGUUAGCUUUUUGGAGGGAAUCAUUUGCAUUAUUUGUGAACUUCUCCCUUAUUUUCUUGAGCACCCAGUGCCAUAAUUCUGUAAAAUCAGCCCCCUAAUUUUUUCCGUCCUGCUUCGCUUGAAGAAAAGCAUAAGAUUACAGAAACAUCUUACUUAGGCUGCCUCAUGUUCAUGAUUGUGUUAGCAAUGCAGGAACCAUCGGAUUGGACAACCAUCUUUUUCAUGGAACUUUAUUUACCACCCAAGUUGGUGUUGAUGUUCUAUUAAAGUCAAAUAGACCAUCGCUUAUUGUUAGCAGUGCAAGCUGGUGAGUUUCAUCUGUUCAUUGAUUUGCUUUUCUUCAAAAAUAAAUGCUUUUCUUUGCUCCCACCAUUUCCCUUUUUUAACAUGAUUUUCAUUGCAGGUCCGGGAUUGGUCUCUUCUCUAAGAUCUCCAUUUGGCACCUUUGAUUUGAUUUUUGUUUCUACAAUCGUUUCAAUUAAUAUGGAGUUUCCUAAUUUGGCCGUUGCUACAAUUCCAGGCAUUCAAUAUUUGUGGGUGGCCGAUUUCCCAUGUUUGAAUGGAAUGAUCCACAACAAAGAUGUGAGGUUUAUCUCAUCUCAUAUCUUCUGCAACGUUGAUAAAAUAACUUUCUGGCUUUCUGCUUAUUGAACACUUUAUAAGGAUUCUUUUUGGAAGAGAAGGUACAUCAGUCAAGCAUAAAGAUUUACAAUGAUUUUCUUUUACCUAUUUACGGUGUGGUAAACAUUGGUACUUAGAAGGGUCUGUCAUUGCACUGCUUCUUUUAGAAGUUGAUAUUUUUCCUGACGUUGGAAC